rnacentral:rRNA from 1 species
UACGGGGGGGCGAAGCGUUGUUCGGUAAUUACUGGGCGUAAAGGGCUCGUAGGUGGCCAACUAAGUCAGACGUGAAAUCCCUCGGCUUAACCGGGGAACUGCGUCUGAUACUGGAUGGCUUGAGUUCGGGAGAGGGAUGCGGAAUUCCAGGUGUAGCGGUGAAAUGCGUAGAUAUCGGGAGGAACACCAAUUGCGAAGGCAGCUCGCUGGGACGUUACUGACGCUGGAGACGCGAAAGCGUGGGGAGCAAACAGG